rnacentral:lncRNA from 1 species
CAGGGGAACUUCAAAUCCUGGCUUCAAACAAGAAGUUUCAAAACAGGACAACCCAGAGCCACAAGGCAGAAAGUACAUAAGCGCCAAGCAGAGAAGAGAUAUGAAGAAGAAGCAGAAACAGGAUAGUGAUGAUCAUCAUGAAGAGGCAGAGAUUAAAAGAGAAGAGGAUCAGGAUUCCUCUACAACCAGCCAGAGCUCUAAGACUGCAGGAGCUACUCAGCAGGUUCUGAAGAGGGGACAAAAGAACAAACUGAAGAAAAUCAAAGACAAAUACAAAGACCAAGAUGACGAGGACCGAGAGCUGAUGAUGAAGCUGCUUGGGUCUGCAGGUGGCAGUAAAGAAGAAAAAGGAAAGAAGGGAAAGAAAGGAAAAGGAAAAGAGGAGCCAGUGAAGCGAGCACCACAGAAAGCUCCCCAGAAGCACAGAGAAGCCAAAACUACAGGGAAUAAGGCUGAGGGGGCUGAGGACACCGGCCCUGCAGGAGAAGGAACCACUGAACAGGAAGACAAGGAGGCUGACGAUUUGGACCAGGACAACCCCGGGGCAGAGGUAGGUAGUCUCUAUAUCUUGUGCUCCUCAUAAACAUGAAGAACAAGAGCAACAGGUUAUAUUAUGCUG